rnacentral:tRNA from 1 species
GGGGAUUUAGCUCAGUGGCAUAAGCACCUGCCUUGCAUGCAGGGGGUCGUGAGUUCAAUCCCCG